AAUCGGAGCUGGAGUGUGGGGACGCCGCACAGAUGCCAGGGGAUCUACGUACCCUGGAGAAGGGCCCAGAACGAGCGGGUGCUGGGACAGUCAGGAGCAGCCCUAGGAGGCGAGGUCACAGACGGGGAUUUGAACUGAGGCCAGUUGCUCUGCCUGUGGGUAUGAUGCUUCGGACAGCACCUGGCUCUGAAGACAGAGGCCCUGGACCCAAGCCACAUGGGCCCACCUUCUCCCGAAGAUCUGGGCUAACUGGGAAGCAAAAAUAAUUACUCUUGUGCCAAAAUGUCCUUGUAAUUAGCAGUUCUGGGAGAUAAAUGAAUUGAAAUAUG